GACCGGCGCACGGGUGAGUAACACGUAUCCAACCUGCCGCUUACUCGGGGAUAGCCUUUCGAAAGAAAGAUUAAUACCCGAUGGUAUAAAGAGUUCGCAUGUUCUCUUUAUUAAAGAAUUUCGGUAAGCGAUGGGGAUGCGUUCCAUUAGAUUGUUGGCGGGGUAACGGCCCACCAAGUCUACGAUGGAUAGGGGUUCUGAGAGGAAGGUCCCCCACAUUGGAACUGAGACACGGUCCAAACUCCUACGGGAGGCAGCAGUGAGGAAUAUUGGUCAAUGGACGCGAGUCUGAACCAGCCAAGUAGCGUGAAGGAUGACUGCCCUAUGGGUUGUAAACUUCUUUUAUAAGGGAAUAAAGUGAGGGACGUGUCCCUUUUUGUAUGUACCUUAUGAAUAAGGAUCGGCUAACUCCGUGCCAGCAGCCGCGGUAAUACGGAGGAUCCAAGCGUUAUCCGGAUUUAUUGGGUUUAAAGGGAGCGUAGGUUGACGUAUAAGUCAGCUGUGAAAGUUUACGGCUCAACCGUGAAAUUGCAGUUGAUACUGUAUGUCUUGAGUGUACAAGAGGUGGGCGGAAUUCGUGGUGUAGCGGUGAAAUGCUUAGAUAUCACGAAGAACUCCAAUUGCGAAGGCAGCUCACUGGGGUACAACUGACACUGAGGCUCGAAAGUGUGGGUAUCAAACAGGAUUAGAUACCCUGGUAGUCCACACAGUAAACGAUGAAUACUCGCUGUUUGCGAUAUACAGUAAGCGGCCAAGCGAAAGCAUUAA
rnacentral:rRNA from 1 species